rnacentral:rRNA from 1 species
UUAAGCUACAAAGAGCGCAGGGGGAAUGCCUUGGCGCUGGGAGCCGAUGAAGGGCGCAGUUAACAGCGAUAUUCUUCGGGGAGUCGUAAACAGGCUUUGAUCCGGAGGUGCCCGAAUGGGGAAACCCGGUUGAGUAAACCUCAAUCAGUUUACGGUAAAUAAAAUAGCCGUAUACAGGGAACCACCUGAACUGAAACAUCUAAGUAAGGUGAGGAAAAGAAAUCAAAUGAGAUUCCGUUAGUAGUGGCGAGCGAAUGCGGAAGAGGCUAAACCGAGAUUGGAAACAUUUUCGGGGUUUGAGAUAGCAAUAAAUUCCUUUUAAAUUUCGAGCAGAACAAUUUGGGAAAAUUGACGAUACAGCGUGAAAGUCGCGUACGCGAAGUUUUUUAGAAGGAAGAGUUAUUUUCAGAGUACUGCCGGACACGUGGAACCCGGUAGGAAUGUGGGGGGACCAUCCUCUAAGCCUAAAUACUACCCAGCGACCGAUAGUGAAGAGUACCGUGAGGGAAAGGCGAAAAGAACCCCGGGAGGGGAGUGAAAUAGAACCUGAAACCCUGUGUUUACAAGCACCGAAAGUUUAUUUAUGAACGAUCGGGUACUUUUUGUAGAACGGUCCGGCGAGUAAAUAGUGCCAGCAAGGUUAAGUGCUUUUAGCAUGGAGCCGUAGGGAAACCGAGUCUUAAUAGGGCGUGUUAGUUGGUAUUAUUUGACCCGAAACCAGGUGACCUAUCCAUGUCCAGACUGAAGAAGAGGUGAAACUCUUCAGAGGGUCGAACCGACUCCUGUUGAAAUAGUAGCGGAUGAGGUGUGGAUAGAGGAGAAAUUCCAAUCGAACCUGGAGAUAGCUGGUUCUCUCCGAAAUAGCUUUAGGGCUAGCCUUGUAUUUAGAUUAGCGGAGGUAAAGCACUGACUGGGCUAGGGAUCGAAAGAUUACCGAACUCUAUCAAACUAAGAAUGCCGUUAAUUAUGUGUACAGGAGUCAGACAGUGUGAGAUAAGUUUCAUUGUCAAAAGGGAAACAGCCCAGACCCACAGCUAAGGACCCUAAGUAAGUUUAAGUGGAAAAGGAUGUGGAAUUGUUCAGACAACCAGGAUGUUGGCUUAGAAGCAGCCAUUCAUUAAAAGAACGCGUAAUAGCGCACUGGUCGAGUGAUUCUGCGCCGAAGAUUUAACGGGGCUAAAAACUUACUCCGAAGCUUGGGAAUCAAAAGUUGGAUUUUAAUUUGUAAAGAUUAUAUUUGAUUUUUACAGAUUAAGUUUAAUUUUUGAUUGGUAGGAGAGCGUCCCGUGAGGAGUGAAGCUACAGCGUAAGCAGUAGUGGACUUUGCGGAAGUGAGAAUGCCGGAAUGAGUAGCGAGAAAUAUGUGAGAAUCAUAUUGGCCGAAAAUCUAAGGAAUUUGGGGGAAGGUUCGUCCGCCCCAAUUUAGUCGGGAGCUAAGGCGAGGCCGAAAGGCGUAGUCGAUGCACAAACGGUUAAUAUUCCGUUACUACCUUAGAAUUUAAGUAAAAUGACGUCUUUUUUUGAAUGUAUCCCGGUCGUUGGUUGUAUCGGGCGUAAGGGAUCGAAAAUUAGUAGAGAAGUAUGUUUUGAAAGAGACCAAGAAAAGUUUUAUGGUAUAUUCUAAGGUACCCGUACCGUAAACCGACACAGGUAGAUGGGAUGAGUAUUCUAAGGCCAACGGGAGAAGGGUAGUUAAGGAACUCGGCAAAAUUACCCCGUAACUUCGGGAUAAGGGGGGCCUGUCGCAAGAUAGGCCGCAGAGAAUAGGCCCAGGCGACUGUUUAUCAAAAACACAGGUCUGUGCUAAAUCGUAAGAUGAUGUAUACGGGCUGACGCCUGCCCGGUGCCGGAAGGUUAAGAGGAUGAGUGUAAGCUUUGAAUUGAAGCCCCGGUGAACGGCGGCCGUAACUAUAACGGUCCUAAGGUAGCGAAAUUCCUUGUCGGGUAAAUUCCGACCCGCAUGAAUGGCGUAACGAUCUGGGCGCUGUCUCAACUGCCCGCCCGGCGAAAUUGUAGUACCGGUGAAAAUGCCGGUUACCUGCGGCAAGACGGAAAGACCCCAUGGAGCUUUACUGUAGCUUGAUAUUGGGUUUCGGUGAUUUAUGUACAGGAUAGGUGGGAGGCUGUGAAGUCAAAGCGUUAGCUUUGAUGGAGUCGUCGUUGGGAUACCACCCUUAGAUUACUGGAAUUCUAACCUUCGGCCGUAGUCCGGUCGGGGAACAUUGUCAGGUGGGCAGUUUGACUGGGGCGGUCGCCUCCUAAAGAGUAACGGAGGCGCUCAAAGGUUGGCUCAGCACGGUCGGAAAUCGUGUUAUAGAGUGUAAACGCAUAAGCCAGCCUAACCGUGAGGGCGACAACCCGAACGGUGACGAAAGUCGGAGUUAGUGAUCCGGCGGUUGUGUAUGGAAAUGCCGUCGCUCAACGGAUAAAAGUUACCCUGGGGAUAACAGGCUUAUACCCCCCAAGAGUUCACAUCGACGGGGGUGUUUGGCACCUCGAUGUCGGCUCAUCACAUCCUGGAGCUGUAUUAGGUUCCAAGGGUUCGGCUGUUCGCCGAUUAAAGUGGUACGCGAGCUGGGUUCAGAACGUCGUGAGACAGUUCGGUCCCUAUCUGCCGUGGGCGUUGGAUAUUUGAGAAAUGCUGUCCCUAGUACGAGAGGACCGGGAUGGACGUACCUCUGGUGCACCAGUUGUUAUGCCAAUAGCAUAGCUGGGUAGCUAAGUACGGCAGGGAUAAACGCUGAAAGCAUCUAAGCGUGAAGCCUCCUUCAAGAUUAGAUAUCCUUGUACACAAUGCAAAUUGUGUGCUGUAGACCCCCUUUAGACUAAAGGGUAUAUAGGGUAUAUGUGUAAGCAUGGUAACAUGUUUAGCUUAAUACUCCUAAUUGGUUAAACGCUUU